UACGUAGGGUGCGAGCGUUAAUCGGAAUUACUGGGCGUAAAGCGUGCGCAGGCGGUGAUGUAAGACCGAUGUGAAAUCCCCGGGCUUAACCUGGGAACUGCAUUUGUGACUGCAUGGCUGGAGUGCGGCAGAGGGGGAUGGAAUUCCGCGUGUAGCAGUGAAAUGCGUAGAUAUGCGGAGGAACACCGAUGGCGAAGGCAAUCCCCUGGGCCUGCACUGACGCUCAGGCACGAAAGCGUGGGGAGCAAACAGG
rnacentral:rRNA from 1 species